CAAAAAUCAACAUCUGGGGCUUAUAUUCCAGUUCAUAAUUGAAAGAGAUUAGUCUUGCAGACCAUCUAGCAAUAUGAUAUCCUGCUCUUCCCAGUCCUUU